GAUGAACGCUGGCGGCGUGCUUAACACAUGCAAGUCGAACGGAAAGGCCCUGCUUGCAGGGUACUCGAGUGGCGAACGGGUGAGUAACACGUGGGUGAUCUGCCCUGUACUUUGGGAUAAGCCUGGGAAACUGGGUCUAAUACCGAAUAUGACAAUUGUUUGGAUGCGAUUGUGGAAAGCUUUUGCGGUAUGGGAUGAGCUCGCGGCCUAUCAGCUUGUUGGUGGGGUAAUGGCCUACCAAGGCGUCGACGGGUAGCCGGCCUGAGAGGGUGUACGGCCACAUUGGGACUGAGAUACGGCCCAGACUCCGACGGGAGGCAGCAGGGGGGAAUAUUGCACAAUGGGCGCAAGCCUGAUGCAGCGACGCCGCGUGGGGGAUGACGGCCUUCGGGUUGUAAACUCCUUUCGCAACCGACGAAGCCUUUUGGUGACGGUAGGUUGAGAAGAAGCACCGGCUAACUACGUG
rnacentral:rRNA from 1 species